rnacentral:lncRNA from 1 species
CUGGAUUCCAGCGCCUGUUGGAACGGGCUCUGUUUGCAAACAGAGGGAAGGAGGGAACCAAUGUGAACUGAAUUCCUGCAGGAGUCUGGAAGAUGAUGCACUUCCUGUCUCGUGGAGCCAACCCUCUGAUUAAAGCAAUGUGGGUAAGAAACGGGCUGUAUGAUGCACAAGGAAAACUGCCAGGGGAUAACUGCUAAAAUCCUGAGAAGAUUAAGUCCCAAAUGGCUCACACAAGAAGGGGCAUUCUUGGUAUUGAACUGAUGAGCAAUCUGGGACCCUAACAGUGCAUUUUGUUCCUUACAGAAGGACCCUUCCUGAGUGCUGGGCAACAGGGCUUCAUGGACCGCGCUUCUAGCAAGGCAAAUGCCUUUGCCCACAGGGGAGUCGGCUCUCCAUUUUCUGCAGAAAAACAACACAGUUGAGGAUUCACCAUGCUGCAGGUUCAGAGAGGCCGGUGAUGGAUCCCCACGUAUCAGGCUGGGUUAGUUAUGUUCACAGAGUACCGCACCAUGUGGACUUUCCCUCUCAGGCUGGGCCAUAGCUCAGAGAUCAUACUCCAUGGUACACACUGGACCCUUCACAUUUUCAAGAAUUAUAAUUUCAAAACCUGCAUCGUUCUGACCAAUCCUCCCGCAAAACACAGAAAACUGAAAGAGCAGCAGUCUCCAUCUAAAAAGCAAUUGCUUCUCUGGAAAAAAGACGUUAUUUCUUUUUUACUUGUAGAAAGUAAGAUCUGUUGAUUUUCAACCAGUUAUACUCUGAAGAAUGAAUGCAUACACAGUUCUCAGAACUACACCAGCACUGAACAGAACUAUUCCAUCCAUCAGCCCCAGGUAUUUGUUUUCACUGUCAAAAAACAAAUCCAAG